AUGAGGACCUGCAGACUGUGUGCAUUGGAGAAAUCUUCUUGGAGUUUGUCAACAUGCUUCCAGCGUUUCAGACCUACUGCCUGCUGCAGUCCACAUCUGUGAACAUGCUCAACACACUGGAGAAAGAAAAAGAGCUUCUUAGGAUAUUCCUCGAUGUGUCCCAGAAUGACAACACGGCACUCAGGCGCAUGAACCUGCGCUCCUUCCUCAUGGCCCCCCUGCAGCGUGUGACCAAGUACCCAUUACUGCUAAGUCGCAUCAGCAAGGCCACCAACGAGUGUCACCCGGACUACUCCCGCUUAAAAGAAGCCAAGAGCCGCGUGGAGUCCCAUCUAGAGCACAUCAACAUGAAGACCAAACAGGAAGGGACCGCCACAUGGUCCUUGCGCUCUUUCCGGCGCGACAGCCGCAAGAACCGAGAAGUCAUCAACAUUGAGAUGAGAGAGCUGUCGAUGAAGACGGUGGGCUGGACACGAGAGAGCACACGGUUUAUCAUGGAGGGGCCGCUCCAGUUGGCACAGCCCGCCGAUGGCCAAUGGCAUAAGAAGGGAAGCAAAUCCCUCAAAUUCCAGAACGUUCAGAGUUUACUUAUGGUACGCACUCUGCGCAACACAGAAACGGUGACUGAAGGGAGUCUGGAGACCUCGGAGACGGUGCAGGACAGUGUACUGGUGCUCAUCAAGGACAAGAGCAGCGGGAAGUUCACUGUGUUACGGGAGCCAAUCCAUUUGGCAAACUGCGUGGUGUCCACCGACCCCGACUGUGAAGACACCUUUGAGGUGCUGGACAUUCGACGUGAGGCCUUCGUUUUCCGUGCCUCCGACAAACCUCGCACUCAGCAGUGGUUUCGCCAGAUCAAGAGAUACGCUUGUGAUUUGGGAUCCUGGAGAAAGAGACGCAAUGCUCUCCCUAAUAUCAUGAUUAACACAACCCAGAGCCGGUCCUGAGACUGAGUCCUUAGCGACACAUCCCUCAUCCCUUCCCAGCAUAACUCUGAUGUAAAUAAUAAUAAUUAAAAAAAUCAAUAUUUUGUUGAGCAAACAGUAUUUGUGUGGGAGAACCAUCCACCAAUUGACUUUUAAAUUGGUAGGUAUUAAUAUAGACUGCAAGAGGGCACUUUGUAUGAGUGGAAAGCAAGUUAAUGACGUUUGGGAAGAGGAAAAAUCCACUGUCAAGCAAAAAGUAAAUGCCCUUUGGCAUACCAAAAUGAGGUCCUUGUUUGGCGCCUCACUGCUGCACUUGUUUAAAACACUGAUUGUACAACCAGUUUGCCACUGAGAAAUGUUCUCAGUUGUGAAAUGGUUUUUGUGAUAAGCAUGAGGGAACAUGUUUGUGAUUGGAUGGACUUUAUAUGGACUUUUUAGUAUGCACAACGGAGUGGAAACCUGUGUUUUGUGUGAAGACUGAGGUAAAGCUGUUUUGUUUUCGGAUCAUUGUAAUUCCCUCUUCCUUUCUCUCUCUCUUCCGUUAGCAUCUAUUCCCA
rnacentral:lncRNA from 1 species